rnacentral:rRNA from 1 species
GAUGAACGCUGGCGGCGUGCCUAAUACAUGCAAGUCGAACGCGCAGCGAGAGGUGCUUGCACCUUUCAAGCGAGUGGCGAACGGGUGAGUAACACGUGGAUAACCUGCCUCAAGGCUGGGGAUAACAUUUGGAAACAGAUGCUAAUACCGAAUAAAACUUAGUAUCGCAUGAUACAAAGUUAAAAGGCGCUACGGCGUCACCUAGAGAUGGAUCCGCGGUGCAUUAGUUAGUUGGUGGGGUAAAGGCUUACCAAGACAAUGAUGCAUAGCCGAGUUGAGAGACUGAUCGGCCACAUUGGGACUGAGACACGGCCCAAACUCCUACGGGAGGCUGCAGUAGGGAAUUUUCCACAAUGGACGGAAGUCUGAUGGAGCAACGCCGCGUGUGCGAAGAAGGUUUUCGGAUUGUAAAGCACUGUUGUAUAGGAAGAAUAAGGUAAACAGGGAAUGGUUUACUGAUGACGGUACUAUACGAGGAAGUCACGGCUAACUACGUGCCAGCCGCCGCAGUAAAAC